rnacentral:rRNA from 1 species
CCUACGGGUGGCAGCAGUGGGGAAUAUUGGACACUGGGGGGAACCCUGCUCCAGCGACGCCGCGUGAGUGAAGCAGUAUUUCGGUCUGUACAGCUCUAUCCGCAGGGAAGAAAAUGACGGUACCUGACUCAGAAGCCCCGGCUAACUACGUGCCCGCAGCCGCGGUACUACGUAGGGGGCAAGCGUUAUCCGGAUUUACUGGGUGUAAAGGGAGCGUAGACGGUGCAGCAAGUCUGAUGUGAAAGGUCGGGGCCCAACCCCGGGACUGCAUUUGAAACUGUUGAACUGGAGUACAGGAGAGGUAAGCGGAAUUCCUAGUGUAGCGGUGAAAUGCGUAGAUAUUAGGAGGAACACCAGUGGCGAAGGCGGCUUACUGGACUGUAACUGACGUUGAGGCUCGAAAGCGUGGGGAGCAAACAGGAUUAGAGACCCUUGUAGUC